GAACCAGCGGAGGGAUCAUUACCGAGUUUACAACUCCCAAACCCAAUGUGAACGUUACCAAACUGUUGCCUCGGCGGGAUCUCUGCCCCGGGUGCGUCGCAGCCCCGGACCAAGGCGCCCGCCGGAGGACCAACCAAAACUCUUAUUGUAUACCCCCUCGCGGGUUUUUUUAUAAUCUGAGCCUUCUCGGCGCCUCUCGUAGGCGUUUCGAAAAUGAAUCAAAACUUUCAACAACGGAUCUCUUGGUUCUGGCAUCGAUGAAGAACGCAGCGAAAUGCGAUAAGUAAUGUGAAUUGCAGAAUUCAGUGAAUCAUCGAAUCUUUGAACGCACAUUGCGCCCGCCAGUAUUCUGGCGGGCAUGCCUGUCCGAGCGUCAUUUCAACCCUCGAACCCCUCCGGGGGGUCGGCGUUGGGGAUCGGCCCUCCCUUAGCGGGUGGCCGUCUCCGAAAUACAGUGGCGGUCUCGCCGCAGCCUCUCCUGCGCAGUAGUUUGCACACUCGCAUCGGGAGCGCGGCGCGUCCACAGCCGUUAAACACCCAACUUCUGAAAUGUUGACCUCGGAUCAGGUAGGAAUACCCGCUGAACUUAAGCAUAUCAAUAAGCGGAGGAAAAGAAACCAACAGGGAUUGCCCC
rnacentral:rRNA from 1 species